UUCCGGUUGAUCCUGCCGGACCCGACUGCUAUCAGAGUAGGACUAAGCCAUGCGAGUCGACGUAGCAAUGCGUGGCGAACGGCUCAGUAACACGUAGUCAACAUGCCCAGGGGACGUGGAUAACCUCGGGAAACUGAGAAUAAACCACGAUAGGUCAUGAUUUCUGGAAUGGAUCAUGGCUCAAAUCUACAUGGCCCCUGGAUUGGACUGCGGCCGAUCAGGCAGUUGGUGAGGUAAAGGCCCACCAAACCUAUAACCGGUACGGGCUCUGAGAGGAGAAGCCCGGAGAUGGGCACUGAGACAAGGGCCCAGGCCCUAUGGGGCGCAGCAGGCGCGAAACCUCUGCAAUAGGCGAAAGCCUGACAGGGUUACUCUGAGUGAUUUCCGCUAAGGGGAUCUUUUGGCACCUCUAAAAAUGGUGCAGAAUAAGGGGUGGGCAAGUCUGGUGUCAGCCGCCGCGGUAAUACCAGCACCCCGAGUGGUCGGGACGAUUAUUGGGCCUAAAGCAUCCGUUGCCGGUUCUGCAAGUCUUCCGUUAAAUCCAGCCGCUCAACGGAUGGGCCGCGGAGGAUACUACAGGACUAGGAGGCGGGAGAGGCAAGCGGUACUCAGUGGGUAGGGGUAAAAUCCUUUGAUCCAUUGAAGACCACCAGUGGCGAAGGCGGCUUGCCAGAACGCGCUCGACGGUGAGGGAUGAAAGCUGGGGGAGCAAACCGGAUUAGAUACCCGGGUAGUCCCAG
rnacentral:rRNA from 1 species